rnacentral:rRNA from 1 species
CCUACGGGAGGCAGCAGUGGGGAAUCUUAGACAAUGGGGGAAAGCCUGACGCAGCCAUGCCGCGUGAAUGAUGAAGGUCUUAGGAUUGUAAAAUUCUUUCACCGGGGACGAUAAUGACGGUACCUGGAGAAGAAGCCCCGGCUAACUUCGUGCCAGCAGCCGCGGUAAU